rnacentral:rRNA from 1 species
AUGGGUACGCCAUGCACUGAUGAAGACAGGGACUUUUUUGCAGCUGCCACUUCCGUCACGGUUGGCAAUGGGCAUGUGGCUAAGUUCUGGAACUCCUCCUGGCUUGAUGGCAUGCGCCCACGGGACCUAGCGCCUGGCAUUUUCGACCUCUCCCAAAGGAAAAACUGCUCGGUCAAACAGGCUUUAACAAACAACACUUGGAUCUCUCAUAUUGACUUCUCCGACGGUCUCACAGUAGACCAUGUCCACCAGUUCGUCACACUUUGGGAGAAGAUUGACUCGGUCACUCUGGAUGAGGACGUGGAGGAUUCCAUUAUUUGGAAGUUCACCAAGGACGGAUCGUACUCAGCUUCCUCGGCUUACAAGGCGCAGUUUGAGGGCCUAACUACGUCGGCCAUGGUCCUAUCGGUGUGGAAGGUGUGGGCUCCCCCGCGGUGCAAAUUUUUCGCAUGGCUUGUACUUCAAGAUAGAAUCUGGACAUCGGACCGCCUUGCUCGACGUGGGGUGGCCCAAUUGCGGGCUAUGCCCGAUUUGCAAGCAAAGCCCUGA